UACGUAGGCAGCAAGCGUUGUUCGGAAUUACUGGGCGUAAAGGGUGCGUAGGCGGCUUUUAAGUUUGGUGUGAAAUCUCCCGGCUCAACUGGGAGGGUGCGCCGAAUACUGAGAAGCUAGAGUGUGGGAGAGGAAAGUGGAAUUCCUGGUGUAGCGGUGAAAUGCGUAGAUAUCAGGAGGAACACCGGUGGUGUAAACGGCUUUCUGGACCAUAACUGACGCUGAGGCACGAAAGCGUGGGUAGCAAACAGG
rnacentral:rRNA from 1 species